GUUUUCCUCCUCCCUACCUCCUUACCACUACAUAAUCAGCCACCUCUUACUUCCCUCUGCCUACUUCUCCCAGCAGCGGAGCUGGAGUAACCCAAAAUAAUCAAGAGGACCUUGGUGGAGAAAAAGGAGAACAACAGGAUGAUCUUGAACAUCUCUCUUCAAUCUUGGGACUCAGAUUAAUGCCUCCUAUUCCUACACACCUUGGAUGACUGCCACUCACCAGCUGUAGAGAGAGUGCACACAUGUGUGUGCAUUGAGGCGGCUGGGUAGAGGGAGAAAGAGAGAAUCUUAAGCAGGUUCCACGCCCAGCACGGAGCCCAACCCAGGGCUCCAUCUCACAACCCUGAGAUCAUGAUCCGAGUGGAAAUCAAGAGUCAGAUGCUCAACUGACUGAGCUACCCAGGGGCCCCAUAACAAUAGAUCUUUUAUACCUUUUUAGACUUCUUUUAAGUUCUAGUAAGUGAUUAAUUUUUGCAAACAU
rnacentral:lncRNA from 1 species